rnacentral:lncRNA from 1 species
GUCAUGUUAUAAUAAUCCAAGUUUUAUUUUUCAAAAUAAAGAUAGAACUGUCAGAUAGUUUCAUUUCUUGUCAAAUAUAAAAUUUUUUGUACCCCUUUUGUUUGAAAAUUCGUAAACAAAAUACAGAUAUUUCAAAAUGCUUUUAGCCAUUGUGAAGUUGGCAGCAUGCGUUGUAUUGGUCGUAGCAGGAAUUAAAUAUAUAAAACGAAUAUAAUUCAGUUAUACAUGCAGCGAUAGAAAAAUCAUCGUGCAAUCGUGCUUGUAGAGAAACAAAUAAAGUUUGUUAAGAAAAUAA